rnacentral:rRNA from 1 species
CCAUACUGGUGAAAACCUAUGGCGAACGGGUGAGUAACACGUGAGCAACCUGCCCCGAAGACUGGGAUAACAGUGGGAAACCGCUGCUAAUACCGGAUACCCCCAUUGGACCACAUGGCCCGAUGAGGAAAUGGAUUCCGCUUCGGGAGGGGCUCGCGGCCUAUCAGCUUGUUGGUGGGGUAACGGCCUACCAAGGCGACGACGGGUAGCUGGUCUGAGAGGACGAUCAGCCACACUGGGACUGAGACACGGCCCAGACUCCUACGGGAGGCAGCAGUGGGGAAUAUUGCGCAAUGGGCGAAAGCCUGACGCAGCAACGCCGCGUGAGGGAUGACGGCCUUCGGGUUGUAAACCUCUUUCAAGCAGGGACGAUAAUGACGGUACCUGCAGAAGAAGCUCCGGCCAACUACGUG